GUGCUCGCUUUGGCAGCACGUACACUAAAAUUGGAAUGAUAGGAGAAGAUUAGCAUGGCCCCUGUGCAAGGAUGACAUGUGAAUUCAUGAAGCAUCUCACAUUUUU
ensembl:snRNA U6 U6 spliceosomal RNA